UACUGGGCGUAAAGGGCGUGUAGGCGGUCUUUCAAGUCCGAUGCUAAAGACUGGGGCUCAACCCCAGGGGUGCGUUGGAUACUGUGAGGCUAGACGGUCGGAGGGGGUAGCGGAAUUUCCGGAGUAGCGGUGAAAUGCGCAGAUACCGGAAGGAACGCCAAUAGCGAAGGCAGCUACCUGGACGACUUGUGACGCUGAGGCGCGAAAGCGUGGGGAGCAAACCGGAUUAGAUACCCGGGUAGUCCACGCCCUAAACCAUGAGUGCUGGGUGUCCGGCUUCUGCUGGGUGCCGUAGCUAACGCGCUAAGCACUCCGCCUGGGAAGUACGCACGCAAGUGUGAAACUCAAAGGAAUUGACGGGGGCCCGCACAAGCGGUGGAGCAUGUGGUUUAAUUCGAAGCGACGCGAAGAACCUUACCAGGCCUUGACAUGCCCGGAACCCCUCUGAAAGGAGGGGGUGCCCGCAAGGGAGCCGGGACACAGGUGCUGCAUGGCCGUCGUCAGCUCGUGUCGUGAGAUGUUGGGUUAAGUCCCGCAACGAGCGCAACCCCUAUCCCUAGUUGCCAGCAGUUCGGCUGGGCACUCUAUGGAGACUGCCUGCGAAAGCAGGAGGAAGGCGGGGAUGACGUCUGGUCCGCAUGGCCCUUACGGCCUGGGCGACACACGUGCUACAAUGCCAAGGACAGAGCGCUGCUACCUCGCGAGAGGACGCCAAUCGCAAAAACCUUGGCUCAGUUCGGAUUGGAGUCUGCAACUCGACUCCA
rnacentral:rRNA from 1 species